rnacentral:rRNA from 1 species
GUGGGAUGACGUCAAGUCAGCAUGGCCUUUAUAUCCCUGGGCUACACACACGCUACAAUGGCCAACACAAUAGGUUGCUAAGCCGCGAGGUGGCGCCAAUCCAUAAAGUUGGUCUCAGUUCAGAUUGUAGGCUGCAACCCGCCUGCAUGAAGAUGGAGUUGCUAGUAACCGCAGGUCAGCUAUACUGCGGUGAAUACGUUCCCGGGGCUU